UUCACACAAACUUGAAGUAGUGUAGAAUGUCCUUUUUUUGCGAUAACACGCAAUCAAUACAACUUUCAACAACGGAUCUCUUGGCUCUCGCAUCGAUGAAGAACGCAGCGAAAUGCGAUACGUAAUGUGAAUUGCAGAAUUCAGUGAAUCAUCGAAUCUUUGAACGCACCUUGCGCCCCUUGGCAUUCCGAGGGGCACACCCGUUUGAGUGUCGUGAAAUUCUCAAAACCCUUUCUU
rnacentral:rRNA from 1 species